rnacentral:rRNA from 1 species
CCCCACACUGGCACUGAGAUACGGGCCAGACUCCUACGGGAGGCAGCAGUAAGGGAUAUUGCGCAAUGGACGAAAGUCAGACGCAGCGACGCCGCGUGGGCGAUGAAUGCCUUCGGGUUGUAAAGCCCUUUUAUGGGGGAAGAGAAAAAGGACGGUACCCCAGGAAUAAGUCCCGGCUAACUACGUGCCAGCAGCCGCGGUAAAACGUAGGGGACAAGCGUUAUCCGGAUUCACUGGGCGUAAAGAGCGUUGAGGCCGGUUCCGUAAGUUGGGCGUGAAAGCUCCGGGCUUAACUCGGAGAUGUCGUUCAAUACUGCGGGGCUUGAGGACAGCAGAGGAAGGUGGAAUUCCCGGUGUAGUGGUGAAAUGCGUAGAUAUCGGGAGGAACACCCGUGGCGAAGGCGGCCUUCUGGGCUGUUCCUGACGCUGAAGGCGAAAGCUAGGGGAGCGAACGGGAUUAGAUACCCCGGUAGUCCUAGCUGUAAACGAUGGAUGCUGGGUGUGGGGGGUGUAAAUUCCCUCUGUGCCGAAGCAAACGCGUUAAGCAUCCCGCCUGGGGACUACGGCCGCAAGGCUAAAACUCAGACGAAUUGACGGGGGCCCGCACAAGCAGCGGAGCGUGUGGUUUAAUUCGAUGCUACACGAAGAACCUUACCUGGGUUUGACAUGCACGUGGUAGGGAACCGAAAGGGGACCGACCUUCGGGAGCGUGCACAGGUGCUGCAUGGCUGUCGUCAGCUCGUGCCGUGAGGUGUCGGGUUAAGUCCCGUAACGAGCGCAACCCUUGCCCUUAGUUACAAGUGUCUAAGGGGACUGCCCGGGACAACUGGGAGGAAGGUGGGGAUGACGUCAAGUCAGCAUGGCCUUUAUAUCCAGGGCUACACACACGCUACAAUGGCCGGUACAAUAGGUUGCGAAGUCGUGAGGCGGAGCCAAU